UGCUUCUCAUGAGCUCCUCUCUGUCAGUUCAGUGGCGUUGUAUGGAUUCGCACGAGAAGUAGAUUCAAAGUCACACUCAAACAGGUGUUUCCAGGUGUUUCAUUGGAAAGUACCCAUGUCUGAUGUGAGACAUCU